AAUGGGGGCAACCCUGAUCCAGCCAUGCCGCGUGGGUGAAGAAGGCCUUAGGGUUGUAAAACCCUUUCAGCGGGGAAGAUGAUGACGGUACCCGCAGAAGAAGCCCCGGCUAACUCCGUGCCAGCAGCCGCGGUAAUACGGAGGGGGCUAGCGUUGUUCGGAAUUACUGGGCGUAAAGGGCGUGUAGGCGGCUUGCUAGUCAGGCGUGAAAGCCCCGGGCUUAACCUGGGAACUGCGUUUGAUACUGGCAGGCUAGAGGUUGGAAGAGGAGAGUGGAAUUCCCAGUGUAGAGGUGAAAUUCGUAGAUAUUGGGAAGAACACCAGUGGCGAAGGCGGCUCUCUGGUCCAUACCUGACGCUGAGGCGCGAAAGCGUGGGGAGCAAACAGGAUU
rnacentral:rRNA from 1 species